CUACGAGUAAUACGACGGCUCCAUGCAUGCAUGUUUCCUAAAUGAAAGCAUUAUAAUUCAUCUUGGUCAAACAAUGGAAAUUUAGGCUUCCGCAGGAGUCCAAACCUAUCACAAACAUGUUUACGUCAUGUCCCAAACUCUCCUUUUACUAUGCUACCAUUAUUUACAUUAAAAUAAAAAGUUUUAUGCGGAAACAUGUUUGCCUUUGCCUAUUUGAAUUUGAAUAUCAUCAAGGGUAACAACCGAUAAUCCACCUAAAGUGAUCUUGGAAUUACUUUGUGCCUUGUGUUUUCGCUAUAUCUCAAUUUUAUAAUUGGUAUCAGAGCAAUUCCAAGAACUCGUGUAUUUUUUAUUAGAAAUCUUUUACACAAUCUCUUACAGACUUGUUUGAUCCGAAUUACACAACUCGACACGGAUCGAUUUCUAACAUACCCAACUUGCUUGACUCAACACUUGUUGAUCAAGUCUGCCAAUUCACUCAGCUAUGAAACUCCAAAAUCCUUUGUGUUUCUCUCUGAGAAUUACAACGUGAAAACUCUAACCCUAAUCUUAGGUAAAGCCACCAUAUAUAUUAAACCCUUUGUGGUUCUCACCAUAAAGUUUUCAAUUCAAAUAUAAAUGUACGUGUUAUAUCACCAUAAAGUUUUCAAUUCAAAUAUAAAUGUACGUGUAUAAGUAUUAUAUUUAACUUUGGGAUACCCAUCCCAAACUAUUUACUUACUGUAUACAUAUAUUUUAUUACAUUUUUGGAACUUUGCUUAGAUGAUAUGGAUGAGAGUUCGAUAAAAAAAAAAAUGAUAUGGAUGAGAUUACUCUUUUUUUUUUAAUGUGCCAUUUAGGACCUGAGGCAUUUUGCUUUGGCGGUUGGUUAUGGAAUUGAAAAUGGUGUCCCAUAUUGGCUUAUAAAGAACUCAUGGGGAGAGGAUUGGGGCGAAAAGGGUUACUUCAAGGUCGAGAUGGGAAAGAACAUGUGUGGUGUCGCGACACUUGCAGCCUACCCGGUUGUGGCGUGAGAUGAUCAGUAGCAUAUGAAUGCAUGAUGUUCGCAUACAUAUUGGAUUAUAAUUAAAUAAAAGUUGGCACAGUUGGGAGUUCACAGCGUGUUUAUGGUUGUUGUAACAUGUUGUCUGUUUUUUUUUUGACCAAAUAACAUAUUGUCUGUUUAUAUGUACCGAAUAAAGCAAAAACUAUAGAUGACAAAGUUAAUAAUAUAUGAAUCUAUUCUAUUAAAACAGCAGUGUGACCAAUUAAUAAAAAUAGGGUCCAACCAUCUAUUUACUUUAUUUAAAAAAACCUUAUAAUAAAAUACUACCGACGUUAUAUUGUCAAUGCCAAAAACAGUUUCCACUUUUUCUUUGCCUAUAACCAAAACAGUUACGUUUCUUCCUACAAAAAUAAGUUAGAUUAUUGAUUUUUGAUGAACACACAAUUUUUCGGGAUUGAACCCAGUUGCAGAAACCCAAUUCUAUUCUUGGAAUCCCAAUUGAAUAUGCAAAUAAAAGCUCUUUUGCAGAGUUUUUCAAUCCGGCGAUAGUGAUGCGUUAGCUCCUCCAUGGAUGGCCAUGGCCAUUUUAGAUAGAUAGUGGGAUAAAGUGUCCAAUGGUGAAGGCGAUUUGAGAUGUAGUUAGACGCGGAAGAAGAGAAGCAAAUCUAGGUGAAGAUGACUGAAUUUAUCUGUUUAAGGUCUUCUACGGUGGUUCGUAGAGGAUCUUAAUGGUAUCCGUGGAUUAGAAAUUGAUAAUGUUUCGAUUACAGUGGAAAUCGUCACCGGUGAUGCUAAAACGGUGGAUGAACAAAGCCGGCGAAGGAUGCUCAUCGACCUUUCUUCUUGGCAUUCCACGUGUCCUAUACCUGUUGUUUUAUUAACUCAUCUUUAUCUUUUGCGUUUGCAAUUGAAAGUUGGGUUAUUGGACUUAUUUUGUUUGAUGUAGAGAUAUGGGCUUUAUAAACAAAUGCACUUUAUAGAUCUUUGCCCAUUUUUUAUUUUAAUGCAAUUGCCGACAAAAAAAAAAUAAUCUAACAUUCAGUUUAAUCACAAAAUACAUGGAAUCCACUUCGUCAGAAACUGAACCGGAUCACUUUCCAAGUCACCGGAUCAUCCGAUCAACCAUAGGUAAACUACAGAUUAAUAAAUAAAUUAAUUUUAUUAUAUAUUUAAUAUUAGUUAUGAAAAUAAAUAUAUACUAGAUUCUGCUCCGUCCUUAAAUGACAGAUAUAUUUUUUGUUUUAUAUUUUUUUAAAAAUUUAAUUUUUAUAUUUGUGUUUUUAGUCAUAUUUAUGUUAUUUUUUAUAGAAUAUUUCUCUUAAAUAAUUAAUAAGAAAUUUUAAUAAUUGCAUUAAAAUAGUUAAACCAUAACUAUAUCAAUAGGUCAUGUUGUUGUUUUUAAAAAGUGAGAUUCUAUUUUUUUUAUAAAACAUAAAAUAAUAAUUUGGAUAUCUAUGUAUUGUAUGUUUAAAAACAUUUAGUAAAUAAUUAAUUUUAGUUUUUAUAUAUUUAUUUUCAUUUGACAUAUAAAAUAUCAAAAAUAGUUUAGAUUAUUUAAAAAAAAUUACAACAAGUUAAGAUUUAUGACAUCUAACAAAAAAUAUCAAAACUUAAAUAUUCAUAAAUAUUUGUAUGUCUAUUAUGAAUAACAAAACUAAACUUCAAAUCGAAAAUAAACAAAAAUAAAACAUAAUUAAUAAAAUUAUCGAUAACAAAACUAAAAAAACCUAAUUUCUUAAUUAAAAAGCAUACAAAGCAGAUUUAAAAAUAUAACUAGAUAUUGACCCGCCCUCGAGAGGGCGGGUAUAUUUUUUGUUUUUAAAAUUUUUAUCUAAUAUAAUUUAUAUGUUUGUGUGUUUGUAUAAUCAUAUUUUGUAUGAUAUGAAUUUUGAAAAAUAGAUAAUUUUUGUAAGUAUAUUAAAUAAAUCAAGUUUCAUAAGUAUGUACUUGUGUCUUUCUUUGUAUCAUAUAUGUAUUUUUUGUAAUCAUAUUUGUGUUUUUAUCUGUGAUAAUAUUUGCGUAAUUUUUUUUAAAGUAUUUUGAUAAUUGUAUUGAAUUUAUUAUAUUUUUAAACUAUAUAUUUGUACCCUAGCCUUUUAACACAUUAAUAUGGUACUUUAUUUUCAAUUCAAACAGUAUUUUUUUUUAAAAAAAAAUAACAAAGUAUUGUUACAAUUUUGUUUAGUAAUAAAACAGUAAUUAAAUAAAUAGAUUAAAUAAAAAAAUGUUUUUCAUAAAAUUGGAAUUAUUUAUAUUCUUAUAUAAUUAUAAUCACAUUAUUAUUACACAUAAUAUUACACAUAAUAAUUUGAAUAGCAAUUAAAAAUGGGUUAUGCAAAUCAAAGUCCAUGGCCCAAUUUUAAUGGGUUUCGUAAAAAUUUAAUUUUACAUUUUUUUUACACUUUUUUUGUUUUACAUUUUUUGUUUUACAUUUUUUGUACGGGUAUAUUUUUGUUUUACAUUUUUUUUAGAAAUUUAAUUUUCAUUUUUGUGUUUCUAUUUGUAAUUAUAUUUGUGUUUUUCUUUGCAAUAUUUGUGUAUAAUCUUAAUUAUAAUCUGUUUCAUAAAACAAAAUUGCAAUUUAAAGUGCCCAUAGAAAUACACACUGCAAGCGUUGAACAAUAUGUGUGGUCAGUGUUUUGAAAUUCGAUCCGGAUCUGCGGUUGAACUGGUACCCAGUGACCUAAAAUAAAUUCGGUUUGGAUUUUGUAAAAAGAAACAAUAUUUAAAAAACUAACAAAACCCGUAAAAAACCCAGAAUCCGGUUAUCGGUUGAACCACUGGUUAAAAUAAUUGAUAACUUUUAAUUCUUUUUAUAAUUUUAAUUAUAUUUUUAAAUCUGCUUUGUAUGCUUUUUAAUUAAGAAAUUAGGUUUUUUUAGUUUUGUUAUCGAUAAUUUUAUUAAUUAUGUUUUAUUUUUGUUUAUUUUCGAUUUGAAGUUUAGUUUUGUUAUUCAUAAUAGACAUACAAAUAUUUAUGAAUAUUUAAGUUUUGAUAUUUUUUGUUAGAUGUCAUAAAUCUUAACUUGUUGUAAUUUUUUUUAAAUAAUCUAAACUAUUUUUGAUAUUUUAUAUGUCAAAUGAAAAUAAAUAUAUAAAAACUAAAAUUAAUUAUUUACUAAAUGUUUUUAAACAUACAAUACAUAGAUAUCCAAAUUAUUAUUUUAUGUUUUAUAAAAAAAAUAGAAUCUCACUUUUUAAAAACAACAACAUGACCUAUUGAUAUAGUUAUGGUUUAACUAUUUUAAUGCAAUUAUUAAAAUUUCUUAUUAAUUAUUUAAGAGAAAUAUUCUAUAAAAAAUAACAUAAAUAUGACUAAAAACACAAAUAUAAAAAUUAAAUUUUUAAAAAAAUAUAAAACAAAAAAUAUAUCUGUCAUUUAAGGACGGAGCAGAAUCUAGUAUAUAUUUAUUUUCAUAACUAAUAUUAAAUAUAUAAUAAAAUUAAUUUAUUUAUUAAUCUGUAGUUUACCUAUGGUUGAUCGGAUGAUCCGGUGACUUGGAAAGUGAUCCGGUUCAGUUUCUGACGAAGUGGAUUCCAUGUAUUUUGUGAUUAAACUGAAUGUUAGAUUAUUUUUUUUUUUGUCGGCAAUUGCAUUAAAAUAAAAAAUGGGCAAAGAUCUAUAAAGUGCAUUUGUUUAUAAAGCCCAUAUCUCUACAUCAAACAAAAUAAGUCCAAUAACCCAACUUUCAAUUGCAAACGCAAAAGAUAAAGAUGAGUUAAUAAAACAACAGGUAUAGGACACGUGGAAUGCCAAGAAGAAAGGUCGAUGAGCAUCCUUCGCCGGCUUUGUUCAUCCACCGUUUUAGCAUCACCGGUGACGAUUUCCACUGUAAUCGAAACAUUAUCAAUUUCUAAUCCACGGAUACCAUUAAGAUCCUCUACGAACCACCGUAGAAGACCUUAAACAGAUAAAUUCAGUCAUCUUCACCUAGAUUUGCUUCUCUUCUUCCGCGUCUAACUACAUCUCAAAUCGCCUUCACCAUUGGACACUUUAUCCCACUAUCUAUCUAAAAUGGCCAUGGCCAUCCAUGAAGGAGCUAACGCAUCACUAUCGCCGGAUUGAAAAACUCUGCAAAAGAGCUUUUAUUUGCAUAUUCAAUUGGGAUUCCAAGAAUAGAAUUGGGUUUCUGCAACUGGGUUCAAUCCCGAAAAAUUGUGUGUUCAUCAAAAAUCAAUAAUCUAACUUAUUUUUGUAGGAAGAAACGUAACUGUUUUGGUUAUAGGCAAAGAAAAAGUGGAAACUGUUUUUGGCAUUGACAAUAUAACGUCGGUAGUAUUUUAUUAUAAGGUUUUUUUAAAUAAAGUAAAUAGAUGGUUGGACCCUAUUUUUAUUAAUUGGUCACACUGCUGUUUUAAUAGAAUAGAUUAAAAUUAUAAAAAGAAUUAAAAGUUAUCAAUUAUUUUAACCAGUGGUUCAACCGAUAACCGGAUUCUGGGUUUUUUACGGGUUUUGUUAGUUUUUUAAAUAUUGUUUCUUUUUACAAAAUCCAAACCGAAUUUAUUUUAGGUCACUGGGUACCAGUUCAACCGCAGAUCCGGAUCGAAUUUCAAAACACUGACCACACAUAUUGUUCAACGCUUGCAGUGUGUAUUUCUAUGGGCACUUUAAAUUGCAAUUUUGUUUUAUGAAACAGAUUAUAAUUAAGAUUAUACACAAAUAUUGCAAAGAAAAACACAAAUAUAAUUACAAAUAGAAACACAAAAAUGAAAAUUAAAUUUCUAAAAAAAAUGUAAAACAAAAAUAUACCCGUACAAAAAAUGUAAAACAAAAAAUGUAAAACAAAAAAAGUGUAAAAAAAAUGUAAAAUUAAAUUUUUACGAAACCCAUUAAAAUUGGGCCAUGGACUUUGAUUUGCAUAACCCAUUUUUAAUUGCUAUUCAAAUUAUUAUGUGUAAUAUUAUGUGUAAUAAUAAUGUGAUUAUAAUUAUAUAAGAAUAUAAAUAAUUCCAAUUUUAUGAAAAACAUUUUUUUAUUUAAUCUAUUUAUUUAAUUACUGUUUUAUUACUAAACAAAAUUGUAACAAUACUUUGUUAUUUUUUUUUUAAAAAAAAUACUGUUUGAAUUGAAAAUAAAGUACCAUAUUAAUGUGUUAAAAGGCUAGGGUACAAAUAUAUAGUUUAAAAAUAUAAUAAAUUCAAUACAAUUAUCAAAAUACUUUAAAAAAAAUUACGCAAAUAUUAUCACAGAUAAAAA